GCAGAAGAUGGCGGACGCGGGACAAACGCGGGGCGGAUCAGCUCUAGAAAAAAGAUGCCAUUACAACUCGUUUAAUAAAACGCGGUGGACACAUGCAGGGCAGAUCGGAACAGAAACGAGCGGUGUCGCAACUCAUUUAACAGAACGCGGCGUAUGCAGAAAGGAUUAACUCAGGAACGAGUGGCGUUACGAUUCAUUUAAUUAAUCAUAUAGUUUCGUAUGUACUACAAUUCUAUUAUUGCACAUCGUGGGAAUAAAAUCUGAAAAAAAGAUCUGGCACUUAGAAAUAAAUCAGACUAACAAGGAAAGGAUGAUAUCGGGCCUCGGUGAAGUAACUUUGCGAUUCAUCGUAGCAACAUGUCUGAUAACUCCACUGUCGCGCAUCGAUCGGUGAGUGAUAAAAAAAUUUAUAAAUGAGAUAACAAAACUGAAAUAUAGCAAGUCAUUUUACUUUUUAAUAAUAAAAGAAGCUUUAAUAAAAAUGUUUAAAAAAAUUGUCUUAAAAAGUU